GCCCCAUUCCCUCUCGGCCACGCCCACCACGGCCCACUGGCCAGGGAGCCGCUACGCAGAUGUUUUCGCCUCUGCGGGUGUAGGCUCCGGGUCGGGCUUCCGGGUCCCUUUCCUGGCUCUGGCGCCUUCCAGCUGUGUGACCGGGCGAGGCCCUGAGCCUCUUGAGGGUUCAGUGCCCUCCUCCGUACAAUGGGCCAACAACAGCCCCUUCCCUGGGGAUCUCGGUGAGGGUUGGUUGCUCUGCAGGGUGCCCUGGGCCUGUGCCAGCGCGCUCAGGCAUCCUGGUGACCAACCACAGCUGGCACUGGUGAACGCAGCCUCUUAGCCCAGGCAGGCUCUGGUCAGCCUCACCUGCUGGGACCGCUGAGUGGUCCAAGAGCUGGCUUGGCUGACUGGGACCUGGGCCUCAGCUUCCCCAUCUGUGCAGGGGGCCGCUGGUGAUACCGGUCCCUGCCAUGCCCUGGUGGAGAUAUGGCCCAGUGAGACUUCGUGAGGGGUCUAGGCCACUGCUGUCACGUGGUACGUCUUCUACCCUGGCCCCUAGGUGGCCCUGGCCUCAGCCUUGCUCUAAAGAGGAAUGAAGCCCAGCCCACAGCCCCUUAGCACAGAUACGCUCGGGAGACGGGACCCUCACCGUUACUCAUCUCCUUACUGUUCCCUGGACACCUUGGGGUCCCUGCGCCUCUCCACCCGUCCCUGCCAGGUCCUCCUGCUCCACCACAGGCCAUCUCCCUGGGCCUCAUCCAGACAGCUGGACACUGAGCACAGCUCUGUUGUCCUCUUCCCUGGGCUGAGUGGACUCAGAGGUGCUGGGGACUGCAUGGCCGCCGGACGAGGCGGGGGCUUUCCAACCCAACACCACCGAGCCUGCCUCUUCCUGCCCUGGAUGCUAUGUCUUCCAUAGAGCCGCUUUUCCAACACAGCAGGUAUGAAGUAUCCACCGGCCAUCUGAAAAUAAUGCAGUAACUAAGAAAAACAGUGGCGAGAGGAAGGAGUGUCGAUGCCCCAAAUGGAUCAUCUUCCAGAGCACGUCUACACCGAGAUCAAGAAUGAAAAGGUGGGAGCAGAUUUAAGGCUCUUGGGCAGCUCUGCGGCCUGCUGUGUUGAGUGUCCUGGAAUUGGGAUCCUGACACAUCCACCAAAGAGCCUUUGAGUACUUCGAAAUCACUUGGAACAGGUUCCUGCAAAGCAAACCCUUCUGGGCUUGAGGAGGAAAUGGACCCGGAACAUUCAGCCCAUCUGAGCACAAACUUUCUGUUGACCUGAGAGGCUGAGGCCUUCCUGUUCCCCACUCAGACCCAGGAGGCAGCCUGCCCAGGGGGAGCCGGGGCAUGGCCUACGAGCUCCUGGAGUCAGGCAGCUCCUGAGGGGCCGGAUGGUCUUGGGCUGGCCAAGCCAGCCUCUGUCGUCCUGUGGAUGGUGGGGCCUUGUGUACGCAUAGCCUCUGCACAGGGGCACACUGUGGGUGUUUGGACGGACAGUGUCUCAAAAACCCAAUUCAGGGCUUGACAGCAGAUUUGUCCUCCACUCCAUGUGCAUAUGAGCAAGGAGAGUUAAUGCAAAGCUUUCUUCAUAGCAGAAGGUUGAAAACAAUGUACCUUUCUAUCAGCAGAGCAGGCAAGGGGGAUACUGUGUGUUUCCCACUGCUGCUGGGACAAAUUAUAACAAAUGUAGCAGCGUAAACCAACGUCCAUUUUUCAUCUCAUGCUCUGGAGGUCAGAGGUUCUCGCGGGUUCUUCUGGUUUUUCUGUUCAAGGUC
rnacentral:lncRNA from 1 species